rnacentral:rRNA from 1 species
UACGGAGGAGGCAAGCGUUAUCCGGAAUUAUUGGGCGUAAAGCGUCCGCAGGUGGCACUUCAAGUCUGUCGUCAAAGACUGGGGCUUAACCCUGGAAAGGCGGUGGAAACUGAAGAGCUAGAGUAUGGUAGGGGUAGAGGGAAUUCCCGGUGUAGCGGUGAAAUGCGUAGAUAUCGGGAAGAACACCAGUGGCGAAAGCGCUCUACUGGGCCAUAACUGACACUGAGGGACGAAAGCUAGGGGAGCGAAAGGG